AUUGAACGCUGGCGGCAUGCCUUACACAUGCAAGUCGAACGGCAGCACGGGAGCAAUCCUGGUGGCGAGUGGCGAACGGGUGAGUAAUAUAUCGGAACGUGCCCAGUCGUGGGGAUAACGUAGCGAAAGCUACGCUAAUACCGCAUACGAUCUAUGGAUGAAAGCGGGGGAUCGCAAGACCUCGCGCGAUUGGAGCGGCCGAUAUCAGAUUAGGUAGUUGGUGAGGUAAAGGCUCACCAAGCCGACGAUCUGUAGCUGGUCUGAGAGACGACCAGCCACACUGGGACUGAGACACGGCCCAGACUCCUAC
rnacentral:rRNA from 1 species